GACGAACGCUGGCGGCGUGCCUAAUACAUGCAAGUAGAACGCUGAAGAGAGGAGCUUGCUCUUCUUGGAUGAGUUGCGCACGGGUGAGUAACGCGUAGGUAACCUGCCUGGUAGCGGGGGAUAACUAUUGGAAACGAUAGCUAAUACCGCAUAACAACAGUUGUUGCAUGACAGCUGUUUAAAAGAUGCAAUUGCAUCACUACCAGAUGGACCUGCGUUGUAUUAGCUAGUUGGUGAGGUAACGGCUCACCAAGGCGACGAUACAUAGCCGACCUGAGAGGGUGAUCGGCCACACUGGGACUGAGACACGGCCCAGACUCCUACGGGAGGCAGCAGUAGGGAAUCUUCGGCAAUGGGGGGAACCCUGACCGAGCAACGCCGCGUGAGUGAAGAAGGUUUUCGGAUCGUAAAGCUCUGUUGUAAGAGAAGAACGGGUGUGAGAGUGGAAAGUUCACACUGUGACGGUAUCUUACCAGAAAGGGACGGCUAACUACGUG
rnacentral:rRNA from 1 species